ACUCGGGUUGCUACGUAUUUUGACUCACCCCCUCUGACGUGUCAGUCUCGGCUGAUUUUCCAGUCAGAGUGUAAAAGACGUCCGUUUUCUUCAGCGUGUCAAAGGGCAUCACCCCGGCUACCAGGUGCAUCUUACACAGAUCCUGCCCCCAGCCCUUCCUAACCUUUCCUGGUCCGUCAUAGACACAGCGUGCAGAAUCAGACGAGCAGCCUCCCGAUUUGGUCUGACACGAAUCGAUGGCCAUGCAGACCCGUCCGUCCCCGCUGUAUCCCUCGUUACAGGCACAGAGGUGCUGGUUUGGACCGGUAUGGACGCAGGUGGCCUGGGCGUGACAGACCCGCUGGAGACAAGGGUUUAUGGCUGAGGACAUGGAUGAGAAAGGACAAACAUCACAAACUCUUUUUAUGUACCCUUGAAGACAUCUCAUUGGCCCAAUUAAUUCUUACUUAAACCUGGGGAUCAUAAAAUACUUUGAAAUCCA